UACGGAGGGUGCAAGCGUUGUCCGGAUUCAUUGGGCGUAAAGGGUGCGUAGGUGGCGCGGUAAGUCGGGUGUGAAAUCUCGGAGCUUAACUCCGAAAUUGCAUUCGAUACUGCCGUGCUCGAGGACUGGAGAGGAGACUGGAAUUCAUGGUGUAGCAGUGAAAUGCGUAGAGAUCAUGAGGAAGACCAGUGGCGAAGGCGGGUCUCUGGACAGUUCCUGACACUGAGGCACGAAGGCCAGGGGAGCAAACGGG
rnacentral:rRNA from 1 species